AUAUCACGUAAAAUUGUGAUGUAAUCGAUGAACCAUAUAUUUUCAAUUAAGUGAAUAUUUAGUUGAAGGUUUUCGGCCUAGUGAUCAAACGCAGUCAUUGGAUGACACCUGUGGGUUCCGCAGUUACUAAUACGGGCCCCGCUUAGAAGCCAAUGGGACGAUACUUUUGUGUGUUUGGUGAUCUGAGAUUGGAAACCUACCUACGUCAAAAGUCAAUAAUGGUACAUGUAUGGAGAGGCCGAGUCAUCACCCGUGUGACCGAUUUCGGUGCCGAGUCGUACUUCCCCAUGUGCCUCACUCACCUGUACGACCCAGAAGGAAACACAGCGUGCGCGUACGAUCGAGAACGAAACAGAGCCUCCGCACUGCACCGGGAAGGGGAAAAUACGUGGUCGCGGCAGCGUCACCUCCUUCAUCCACCGCCGAGCCCGGUUGUGGAUUCCGCAGGGCUCGCAGAAAGGCGCGAUCUUGAGCGUGGAUUCCCGGCUUCCGGUGCUCAAUUUGCUUGGCCUGCAAGAAAGAUGGCAGCUUGAUUAGGACGAGCACUUCAUCUGAUUUCGGCGAUAUUGUUCUCAAACAGUCUCUUACAGAGACUGAGGGGUUUGAUCAAGAAAGAAGAAGGAAUAAAGGGAAGAAGGCUGGAAUACGCAGAAUCCAUAUUGACCAAAAAGGAGAGAUUUUGUGGUCCUUUUUUAUUCUUCUUCAACAUGGUAACCUCAUCUCUCUGUUGAUUGCCAGUCCAGAUUGAGAGAGAGAGAGAGAGAGAGAGAGAGGAAAAGAACCAGCUGCUUUAUCCUCCUCCUUUUGUUCUCUGUUGCAAGUCUUCCAUUUUGGUCUGCCUCCCUAUUUGCAGCAGCUUAUUUCCAUGUUCCUGAGAUCGAAGAUUCAAGAUAUUAUUCUGAGGGAGAGGUCCAAGGCAGUCAGCAGGAAAAAAGAGUUGAUGCCCGAUACCACCUCUUCCCCACCUCCCAACCCCGCCUUCACUUCUCCAAAUCUCCUUGUGGAGGGCUGCUCUGUGAGGAAGAGUUCCAUGUACUCUGAGGACGCAAUAGGUCCCAAGUCCAUGCUAGCGACCAUACCAUUCUUUGCCACUGGGAACCGGUCCUCAUCUGAUAGUAGAGACUGCAAGACAAAGCCCCUGUCAGUAGAGACUGCAGCUGCCACCACUGGCACUGAGAGCAGACACCAUCCUUGGCACAAUCGAAGCUCACGAGCCAUUGGACUUGGCCUUGUUGAUGCUCUGAGCAAUGAGGAGACUGGUGAUGUAGGGUGUACGAUGGUUGUCUUUGGGUGUCAGCUUAAGAUUCAAACACUUCCUGGUCUAUCCAACUCCAUGUCCCCUGUGUCCAUUGAGUCUCCUCGGUCUAUCAUGGAGUUCGGUAGCAAGACUAAGACUUCUCAGAUGGAUUCAUAUUUACCUGGCAGAACGGUUUCUGGUUGUCUUUUCUCCUCAGUUGUUCAUGGGUCACAUGUCCCCAACCGAGAUUGAGCUCUCAGAAGAUUACACUUGUGUGAUAUCGCAUGGGCCUAUCCUGAAGAAAACACAUAUCUUUCAUGAUUGCAUCAUUGAGAGCUGCGACAGAGAGUUCCUUACCUUGAAGAAGAGUACAUGUAUGGAUGAUCCGUCAGGAUAUGCUGCAGAUACUUCAUUGAGCUGCUGUGUUUCUUGCAAGGAGGAUAUUGGGAAGGGGAAGGGAAUUUCUCUUUACAGAGGAGAGAAAGGAUUGUGUAGCCAUGAAUGCGGCUACCAAGAGGUGGUCUCCGAUGAAUAGACAGAGAACGCUGACCGAGUAUCUGAAAUCAGCAUGUUCUCUUCCUGGAAGUGAACUUUGGGUGUCUGCUUCCUUGUAUAGUUUCUUUUUCAGAAGUCUUCUGGGUUAAAAUCAGGAUACUAAGAGCCAUCAAAAGUAAUUUUAUUGAAUAGUUCGGGUUAACCAUAAAUGAGGCUGGUAUGGUGAGAUUUUGCCGGUGUGGUUUUUUCUGAUUGCUUGUGAUUUCUAUUCAUGCUUUUUUGUUAAUGCAGGUGAGGAACCAGUAAUAAUUGUCAAUCAGGUUAUGUUAGAAACAUUUUAUGUAGAAUUCUGAUAUAUAGCAACUAGCAAGCAUGCUUCAUUCAGAAUUCCAAUUAAGCAGCCAACCAUCACAGAAGUGGCCAAAUAGGGUUUCCACAGAAUGCAGUCCCAUCCAGCAUUCUCUUGGUGGUGUUGCUAGUCCACAUGCUAAAAUGAGCAGCGCAAGAAUCAUUCCUGAAUUGUAUGUCAGACAAACUCUAGAAAGUGAUUUGCCAA